rnacentral:rRNA from 1 species
UUUAAGGAGACCAAAAAUUUACCUUUCACAGUAUUGUCUAUGACCUCAGCCUCAGUUGGAUUAAUAUAAUCUUUAUCCUGCUCCUCUAUAUUAUCUCUUUCAUUUUCAUCCAAUUGCUCUUUACCUGUAGCGUAGCUUAAUGUUUAAGAUAGCGGUAGUUACAGAGAGACGCACUAUUUGAUUUUCUUUUUUGGUUUUAAAGAGACAAACUAUAACAGCAACAACGAAUAAAAAUAUAAGCAAUUCAUAACCAUAACUCUAAUAUUAAUAUUACUAUCACUUCCAUGACUACACACUAGCAUUAGCACCUAUAAAUCAAACAAAAUCCACCAAAGACACUAGUUACCACGUAACAAAAGCACCUUCAACCUAUCUACCGGCACAAAUAGACAAAUUCACUAUACUUAGUGAACCAAAACACUUUUCUGAUUUACGACAUCUAAAAAUUAACAACAAAAUCAAACUUAUUUGCAUUGAAUAGUUCAAAGAAACUCAAAAUAAUUGUGGUAAUAUUUUUCUAUUUUAAAUCAAUGACCAAAACAGAGCAUUAACCAAAAUUAAUAUUAAAAACAACACAAAAUCAGAAUAUGUUCAGAUAACUAAUUAUCAAAUACUCAUAGGCAGUGGCUUGGUUAAGGGAAACCACCAGAGCCGUAGCGAAAGAGAGUCUUCAUAGGGCAAUUGUCAUUGCUUAUGGACUUGAACCUAGGGGAUCUAUCUAUGACCAGGAUGAAGCUUGGGUGAAACUAAGUGGAGGUCCGAACCGACUGAUGUUGAAGAAUCAGCGGAUGAGUUAUGGUUAGGGGUGAAAUGCCACUCGAACCCAGAGCUAGAUGGUUCUCCCAGAAAUGCAUUGAGGUGCAGCAGUUGAUUGGACAUCUAAGGGGUAAAGCACUGUUUUGGUGCGGGCCGUGAGAGCGGUACCAAAUCGAGACAAACUCUGAAUACUAGAUAUGACCUUAAAAUAACAAAGGUCAAGGUCGGCCAGUGAGACAAUGGGGGAUAAGCUUCAUCAUCGAGAGGGAAACAGCCCGGAUCAUAAGCUAAGGCCCCUAAAUGACUGCUCAGUGAUAAAGGAGGUAGGGGUGCAACGACAGCCAGAAAGUUUGCCUAGAAGCAGCCACCCUUGAAAGAGUACGUAAUAGCUCACUGAUCGGCGCUCCUGUGCCGAAGAUGAACAGAGCUAAGCGAUUUGCCGAAGCUAUGGGAUGUAUAAAUGAAUCAGUAGGGGAGCGUUCCACCUUAGAGGAAAGGACCCGCGCGAGCAGCGGUGGGCGAAGUGAAAGUGAGAAUUUCUACUUGAUUAACACAAACGUUGGUGAGAAUCCAAUGCCUCAAAAUCCUAAGGGUUCAUCCGCAAGGUUCAUCCAUGGAGUGUGAGUCAGGGACUAAGAUUAGGCCGAAAGGCGUAGUCAAUGGACAACAGGUGAAUAUUUCUAUACUACCACUUGUUGGUUUCGAGGGAUGGAAGAGGCUUGGUUUGCCGAAAGAUGGUUAUCGGUUCAAGGACGCAAGGUGCCCCUGCUUUUUAGGGUAAGAAGGGGUAGAGAAAAUGCCUCAAGCCAAUGUUCGAGUACCAGGCGCUACGGCGCUAAAGUAACCCAUGCCAUACUCCCAGGAAAUGCUCGAACGACCUUUAACAAAAGGGUACCUGUACCCGAAACCGACACCAGUGGGUAGGUAGAGAAUACCUAGGGGCGCGAGACAACUCUCUCUAAAGAACUCGGUAAAAUAGCCCUGUAACUUUGGGAGAAGGGAUGCCCCCUCACAAAGGGGGUCGCUGUGGCCAGGCCCGAGCGACUGUUUAUAAAAAACACAGGUCUCCGAAAAGUCGUAAGACUAUGUAUGGGGGCUGACGCCUGCCCGGUGUCAGAAGGUCGAGGAAGUUGGUGACAUGAUGACAGGGGAGUCGGCGACUGAAGCCCCGAUGAACGACAUGUCUGUGAAGAUGCGGACUACCUCCACCUGUAAUAGCCCAUCCGCUAGCACGAUAUUGUCUGCUUUGGCACACAGGGCCUCACGGUUUUGCCUUUGACGAUAGGGAUGAUAGCCAAAGCCCCCCACACUCACUCAUCAAAAUACGUCAUGCUAGAGAGAGGUAUCUACACCCUUAUAAGCCAUGCUUCGUUCUCCUCUCCAACCGAUGUGGGACCUUACAAUCCACCCCCUAAGGAAGCCCAGUGCCCUCUCUGGCACAUUGAUCCGAGCAACCAGACUCUGAUACCAUCUGUAACAACCCAGACCAUCUGCUAGCACGAUAUUGUCUGCUUUGGCACACAAGGCCUCAUAGUUUUGUCUUUGACGAUAAGGAUGAUAGCUGAAGCCCCCCAUACUCACUCGUCAAAAUCCGUCAUGCUAGGGAGUGGUAUCCAUACCCUUAUAAGGCAUGUUUUGUUCCCCUCCCCAACUGAUGUGGGACCUUACACCACCUGGACAGAAAGACCCUAUGAAGCUUUACUAUUCUCUGGGAUUGGCUUUAGGCUUUUCCUGCGCAGCUUAGGUGGAGGGCAAAGAAGGCCUCCUUCCGGGGGGCCCGAGCUACCAGUGAGAUACCACUCUAGAAGAGCUAGAAUUCUAACCUUGUGCCAGGACCUACGGGCCAAGAGGCAGUCUCAGGUAGACAGAUUCUAUGGGACGUAGGCCUCCCAAAAGGUAUUGGACGCGUGCAAAGGUUUCCUCGAGAUAGACAGAGAUUGGCCCUUGAGUGCAAAGGCAGAAGGGAGUUUGACUACAAGACCUACCCGUCGAGCACGGACGAAAGUCAGCCUUAGUGAUUCGACAGUGCCGAGUGGAAGGGCCGUCGCUCAAUGGAUAAAAGUUACUCUAGGGAUAACAGGCUGAUCUUCUCUAAGAGCUCACAUCGACGGGAAGGUUUGGCACCUCGAUGUAGGCUCUUCGCCACCUGGAGCUGUAGUAUAUUCCAAGGGUUGGGCUGUUCGCCCAUUAAAGCAGUACGUGAGCUCGGUUCAGAACGUCGUGAGACAGUUCGGUCCAUAUCCAGUGUGGGCGUUAGAGCAUUAAGAGGUCCUUUCCCUAGUACGAGAGGAUUGGGAAGGACGCACCUCUGGUGUGCCAAUUAUCGUACCCAGAGUAAACGCUGGGUAGCCAAGUGCGCAGUGGAUAACUGCUGAAAGCAUCUAAGUAGUAAGCCCACCCCAAGAUGAGUGAUCUCCUAUUUCGACUUCCCUAGAGCCUCCGGUAGCACAACCGAGAUAGCGAUGGGUUCUCUGUCCCUGUGAGGAUGGAGCAAAAGAAGCUUUGAGAAUUCAAGAGAAGGUCACGGCGAGACGAGCCGUUUCUCAUUAACGAUAGGUGUCAAGUGGAAGUGCAAUGAUGUAUGCAGCUGAGGCAUCCUAACAGACCGGUAGACUUGAAC